rnacentral:rRNA from 1 species
AUUGAACGCUGGCGGCAGGCCUAACACAUGCAAGUCGAACGAGUGGCGGACGGGUGAGUAAUGUCUGGGAAACUGCCUGAUGGAGGGGGAUAACUACUGGAAACGGUAGCUAAUACCGCAUAACAUCAGAUGUGCCCAGAUGGGAGUUGAUUGUUGGGUGGGUAACGGCUCACCAAGGCGACGCUCCCUAGCUGGUCUGAGAGGAAGACCAGCCACACUGGAACUGAGACACGGUCCAGACUCCGACGGGAGGCAGCAGUGGGGAAUAUUGCACAAGGGGCGGAAGCCUGAUGCAGACAUGCCGCGUGUAGGAAGAAGGCCUUCGGGUUGUAAAGUACUUUCAGCGGGGAGGCGUUACCCGCAGAGGAAGCACCGGCUAACUCCGUGCCAGCAGCCGCGGUAAUAC